UCAACUGCGUGAAUUCAGAACUCUUCAGC
rnacentral:piRNA from 1 species